rnacentral:rRNA from 1 species
GACGAACGCUGGCGGCGUGCCUAAUACAUGCAAGUAGAACGCACAGUUUAUACCGUAGCUUGCUACACCAUAGACUGUGAGUUGCGAACGGGUGAGUAACGCGUAGGUAACCUGCCUGGUAGCGGGGGAUAACUAUUGGAAACGAUAGCUAAUACCGCAUAAUAUUAAUUAUUGCAUGAUAAUUAAUUGAAAGGUGCAAUUGCACCACUACCAGAUGGACCUGCGUUGUAUUAGCUAGUAGGUGAGGUAACGGCUCACCUAGGCGACGAUACAUAGCCGACCUGAGAGGGUGAUCGGCCACACUGGGACUGAGACACGGCCCAGACUCCUACGGGAGGCAGCAGUAGGGAAUCUUCGGCAAUGGACGAAAGUCUGACCGAGCAACGCCGCGUGAGUGAAGAAGGUUUUCGGAUCGGAAAGCUCUGUUGUAAGAGAAGAACGGGUGUGAGAGUGGAAAGUUCACACUGUGACGGUAUCUUACCAGAAAGGGACGGCUAACUACGUG